AUACGGAGGGUGCAAGCGUUAUUCGGAAUCACUGGGCGUAAAGCGCGCGCAGGCGGGCUGAUAAGUUGGAUGUGAAAGCCUACGGCUCAACCGUAGAACUGCAUCCAAAACUGUCAGUCUAGAGUCUGGGAGGGGAAGAUGGAAUUAGUUGUGUAGGGGUAAAAUCCGUAGAGAUAACUAGGAAUACCAAAAGCGAAGGCGAUCUUCUGGAACAGUACUGACGCUGAGGCGCGAAAGCGUGGGGAGCAAACAGGAUUAGAAACCCUAGUAGUCC
rnacentral:rRNA from 1 species